rnacentral:rRNA from 1 species
GUCUUGAAAAUUAAAGGAUUUGGCGGUAUUUUAGUCUAUUCAGAGGAACCUACCCUGUAAUUGAUAUUCCACGAUUUAUUUUACUUAAUUUAAUUAAUUUACAUAUCGCCGUAGUUUGAGUAUUUUUAAAGAAAUUUAAUAUUCAUAAUUUCUUAAAAUAAAAAAAAUCAGGUCAAGAUGUAGUUUAUAGCUAAGUAGAGGUGGGUUACAAUAAAUAUAUUUAUAUACGGAUUAAUACUUGAAAUUUUAUUAUGAAGGUGGAUUUGAUGGUAAUUUUAUUUAAAUUAAUAAGGUGAUUUUAGCUCUAAAAUAUGUACAUAUCGCCCGUCGCUUUCACUACAAAGUGAAAUAAGUCGUAACAAAGUAGAUGUACUGGAAUGUGUAUCUAGAAAUAAAUUAGAGCUUGUUAAAGCAUUUUAGUUACAUUAAAAAGUUUAUUGUAAAUUCAAUAUAAUUUAAGUUUAAAUUAUUAUUUAAAAUUUUAGUUUAAAAAAAUGUUUAAAAAAAGAAUAUUAUAUUUUAUUAAUAUAUUUGAAUCAAUAAAAUUAAUUAUAGAUAAAUAGUAUUGUGAAAGAAUUAAAGUUUACUUUUAAAAGAAGAAUUAAGGUUUUGUACCUG